GGCGAACGCUGGCGGCGCGCUUAACACAUGCAAGUCGAGCGAGAACCGGGUCUUCGGACCCGGGGAAAGCGGCGAACGGGUGAGUAACACGUGAGUAAUCCACCCUCGGCACCGGGAUAGCCCGGGGAAACUCGGAUUAAUACCGGAUGGCCCAACAGCUCUCCGGGGCGGCUGGGAAAGGUAUCUUCGGCAUCCGGCCGAGGGCGAGCUCGCGGCGGGUUAGCUUGUUGGUGGGGUAAUGGGCUACCAAGGCGACGAUCCGUAGCUGGUCUGAGAGGACGAUCAGCCACACUGGGACUGGGACACGGCCCAGACUCCUACGGGAGGCAGCAGUGGGGAAUCUUGCGCAGUGGGCGAAAGCCUGACGCAGCGACGCCGCGUGAGGGAAGAAGGCUUUCGGGUUGUAAACCUCUUUCAGGAGGGACGAAGCUACUCGGGUUAAUAGCCCAGAGGGUGACGGUACCUCCAGAAGAAGCCCCGGCUAACUACGUGCCAGCCGCCGCCGCGGUAA
rnacentral:rRNA from 1 species